rnacentral:rRNA from 1 species
GAUGAACGCUGGCGGCGUGCCUAAUACAUGCAAGUAGAACGCUGAAGGAGGAGCUUGCUCUUCUGGAUGAGUUGCGAACGGGUGAGUAACGCGUAGGUAACCUGCCUGGUAGCGGGGGAUAACUAUUGGAAACGAUAGCUAAUACCGCAUGACAACAGUUAUUGCAUGAUAACUGUUUAAAAGGGGCAACUGCUCCACUACCAGAUGGACCUGCGUUGUAUUAGCUAGUUGGUGAGGUAACGGCUCACCAAGGCGACGAUACAUAGCCGACCUGAGAGGGUGAUCGGCCACACUGGGACUGAGACACGGCCCAGACUCCUACGGGAGGCAGCAGUAGGGAAUCUUCGGCAAUGGACGGAAGUCUGACCGAGCAACGCCGCGUGAGUGAAGAAGGUUUUCGGAUCGUAAGGCUCUGUUGUAAGAGAAGAACGAGUGUGAGAGUGGAAAGUUCACACUGUGACGGUAUCUUACCAGAAAGGGACGGCUAACUACGUG